AAGAAAUUUCGAGGGAAAGAGAUUUAUAUGACCAUGGCUUAUAGCAGGGGAGAUCCCCUUGUUCCAUCCAGGAUUCAGCACAGCAUGCAUUAUGGUCAUGACCCUCUACUAUACUACUCACAGACAGCUGGCCAUAUUCUGUCUAGUCAACAUUUUUACCCUCAACAUUCAUCUCAAAGACAAGGUCGGGGAUAUGGGAUGCCCAGGGAUUCGUCUCACUUAAUAAGCAAGCAAAACUUGCCAAAUCCUAAAGUUGGGUUUUGCUCUGGCUCAGGCAGAAAGUGCUGCCAGAGUUAUGAUAAUGUCUCCUAUAGGUCUCGUUCUUUUAGGCGUAGCCAUCGUCAGAUGCAUUGCAUGAAUAAGGGAUGCCAAUAUGGUUUUGCUCCAGAGAAUGGAGUGGAAGAAACUGUUACAUUUUAUGCACUUGAAGAAGGGAAUGAGACUGCUUAUUCAACUUUACCUAACAAUGGUGGUCCCACUACAAUGGUUCCUGCUACUUCAGGCUACUGUGUUGCAAGGCAGGGCUAUAACUCAUGCAAACCACCUUUGAAUUCUGGAGACAGUAAUGACCACUGUGAUAAUGGAGGAUAUCAUGGAGAUUAUCUUUAUUCUUCAGAACAAGGCUAUGAAACUUCUAGUGUGUAUACCACAACUGUAUCUACAGCAAACCUGUCUCUUCAGGACAGUGGACCAUCUUCUGUGCCUCAAGACACAGUUACCUCAUACAACUACCCCCAGAAGGUAUUAGAAAAUUCUGCAGCAAUUGCAGUUUCUUGGGCAAGCCAUGUUCCAGUUCCAGUCAUACCGAACUGUGCAGGAGAUAAUGAAGCUCUUCGUACCUCUGAUAUUUCUUCACAGAAUGCCAUACAACCUGGCUUUGUACCUCCACCUGCACAAGGUAGUCCAGAUACAAAAGUUUUACAGUACUAUUUCAAUCUGGGAUUGCAGUGCUAUCAUCACAACUACUGGCAUCCCAUGGUUUAUAUGCCACAUGUGCAGCAGCAGCUGCAGCCGCAGCCGCAGCCGCAGCCCCAGCCGCAGCCGCAGCCACAACCCCAGCCCCAGCCGCAGCCACAGCAGCCGCAACAGCAGCAGCCGCCGCCGCAACAACAGCAGCAACAACAAGAACAGGUUCAUGGAGAGAGUUAUCCAGAUUGUACUGAGCAACCCCUCGUAGACCAAAGUGCUCCUCAGGUGUACAGUGAUGUGGUGAGAGAGGAUGGCACACAGGCAGAUGUAUCAACAAAUGAUACUUUUCCCAUUGCUGAUGCUGUACCUCUCCCUCAUGGAGCAGUCUACUAUCCAGUAAUGACAGAUCCCUAUGGGUCUCCUUUGUUGGGAUUUGAUUCCUAUGUUCCUGUUGCAUCAGAUUAUUCCAGUAUUGCUAUGUGGCAUCCAGUUAAUGCAGCAUGUGGUGCUUCUGCGCAGAUCCAUGGUGCUAUGAAUCCCGGGCCAAUUGGCUAUAUGCUUCUACCUAACUCACCUCAUUAUACACCUCAGAAUUAAGAUUUAGCAAUAUGAAAUACUUUUUUGCUGCCAUCUUUGCUGUUAUGGUUCCUAAAUGUUUUACAUUAGUUCUUAAGUGGUUUAGUUGGGAAGAAUGUUAACUGUCUUUAAAAUUAUUUUACUUUUGAAGUAAAAUAUUUCUUUAAAACAAAGACAUAUUACUUUUUGUUAUGAAUAAGAAAAUUGCAAUGAAUGUACAACUCGUCCCUCUAAUGGGCAAGUUCAUUGGAGCCAGCUUCCUGGUAGCCAGCAUGUUAAAACUGUAUUAACUGAUGGUGCCAACUGAGAAAAGAAAGGAACAAAUACAAGCUAUUUUCCUAUACUAUACAUCUUAAUUAUUUAAAAAGUUAGUAUGAUUUCCAUUUUUCAAGACAUUUAAAGAGACAAAAAAAUCCAAACAGGAGCCUGUGCUCCUGGGUAUUUGUUUAUAUUACAUGAGAGUUCUUCAGAUUUCUUUUAAGAGUCGUCAGAACUGAAUUGUAGCCUGAUAUUAACCAGUUUUGAAGGCACAUGGUGUUCUGCUUUGCAUUUGCUACCAUAUGGUAUUGUUUAAUACUGGAUUUACAUAACUGUCCUACCGCACAGUAUU
rnacentral:lncRNA from 1 species